AGCCCCAUCCCAGGCUCCCAGGGAGAGGAUAAGAGGGGCCUGGCAGAGCCCGGACCCAGCUGGUUCUCUCUAGGGAGCAGAGCUCUCGGGGUCCCCUGCACCAUGGCCUGGCCUCUCGUCUGCCUCCUCCUGCUCACCUGCUGCUCAGGUUCCUUCUCCCAGCCUGUGCUGACUCAGUCUCCCUCAAUGUCUGUGUCCCUGGGAGCCACGGCCAGACUCACCUGCACCCUGGGCAGUCAGCACAGUUAUUAUACAAUUGCAUGGCACCAACAGAGCCCGGGAAAGGCCCCUCGGUACCUCAUGUAUGUGAAGGGCAAUGGAAGUGCAGGCAAGAGCGAGGGGGUCCCCGACCACUUCUCAGGCUCCAGCUCUGGGGCCAAUCACUACUUGUCCAUCAGCAACAUCCAGCCUGAGGACGAGGCCGAUUACUACUGUGAGACAUAUAGUAGUGGUGCUUACCACAGUGCUACAUUCAGUGAGGAAGUGGAAAAAAAACCUCCCUGCCAGCCCCGACCUGGCCCAGGCUGCUGACACAGCCCAAGCUGCCAAGGGACAGGAAGGUCCCUCCUUCUCUCUGCUUCUUC